rnacentral:misc_RNA from 1 species
AAUUUAUUACAUUAUUUAAUUGUCACCCAUUACAUCAAAUUUUUUCAUGUUAACAAAUAAUAUAAUCAAAUAUGAUAAUUAACUUUGAUUACAUCAUAUCAAACAUGGCCUGGUGCAAGGAGAAGGAUGACAAAUAUAUGCACAAACUCUGUAAUUCACGCCAUAACAGCAUAAUUUACAUAAUAUAUGAAUAUAUUCUACAUAAACUAGGACCAGCUAACGGGUUUCCUUUAAGAAAUAACCUUAACAUACGCACUUAUUUUACAAAUUAACUACAGAAAUAACCUUAACAUACGCACUUAUUU